UAGCAAGUUAAUAAGGGCGCACGGUGGAUGCCUUGGCACCAGGAGCCGAUGAAGGACGUAGGGGGCUGCGAUAAGCCUCGGGGAGCUGCCGACCGAGCAUUGAUCCGAGGAUUUCCGAAUGGGGAAACCCGGCAGGAGUCAUGUCCUGUCACCCAUACCUGAACACAUAGGGUAUGGGGAGGGAACGUGGGGAAGUGAAACAUCUCAGUACCCACAGGAAGAGAAAGCAACCGCGAUUCCGUUAGUAGUGGCGAGCGAAAGCGGAACAGGCCAAACCACAUACGCGUGAUAGCCGGCAGGCGUUGCGUAUGCGGGGUUGUGGGGCCGCUUGGUUGACUCUGCCGAGUCAACAAGGAGUCAGAAAGCAUUGUUGUUAGUCGAAGGACUUGGGAAGGUCCGGCACAGAGGGUGAUACCCCCGUAGACGAAAACACAAUGCCUCCUUAGCGUCACCCCAAGUAGCAGCGAGCCCGUGAAAUUCGCUGUGAAUCCGGCGGGACCACCCGCUAAGCCUAAAUACUCCCUGGUGACCGAUAGCGGACAAGUACCGUGAGGGAAAGGUGAAAAGUACCCCGGGAGGGGAGUGAAAUAGUACCUGAAACCGUGUGCCUACAAGCCGUGGGAGCGUCGUCGUUGGGUUUACCCGGCGGCCGUCACCGCGUGCCUUUUGAAGAAUGAGCCUGCGAGUUAGUGGUAUGUGGCGAGGUUAACCCGUGAGGGGAAGCCGUAGCGAAAGCGAGUCCGAAUAGGGCGCUUCAGUCGCAUGCUCUAGACCCGAAGCGGAGUGAUCUACCCAUGGGCAGGUUGAAGCGCGGGUAAGACCGCGUGGAGGACCGAACCCACCAGUGUUGAAAAACUGGGGGAUGACCUGUGGGUAGGGGUGAAAGGCCAAUCAAACUCCGUGAUAGCUGGUUCUCCCCGAA
rnacentral:rRNA from 1 species